rnacentral:rRNA from 1 species
GAUGAACGCUGGCGGCGUGCCUAAUACAUGCAAGUCGAGCGAACAGACGAGGAGCUUGCUCCUCUGACGUUAGCGGCGGACGGGUGAGUAACACGUGGAUAACCUACCUAUAAGACUGGGAUAACUUCGGGAAACCGGAGCUAAUACCGGAUAAUAUAUUAAACCGCAUGGUUCAAUAGUUAAAGACGGUUUUGCUGUCACUUAUAGAUGGAUCCGCGCCGCAUUAGCUAGUUGGUAAGGUAACGGCUUACCAAGGCAACGAUGCGUAGCCGACCUGAGAGGGUGAUCGGACACCCUGGAACUGAGACACGGUCCAGACUCCUACGGGAGGCAGCAGUAGGGAAUCUUACGCAAUGGGCGAAAGCCUGACGGAGCAACGCCGCGUGAGUGAUGAAGGUCUUCGGAUCGUAAAACUCUGUUAUUAGGGAAGAUCAAAUGUGUAAGUAACUAUGCACGUCUUGACGGUACCUAAUCAGAAAGCCACGGCUAACUACGUG